rnacentral:lncRNA from 10 species
CAGAGCAAGUAGAGUGAUUUGCUGAGGGUCACACAGCCAGGAUGUAGUGGAUCUGAGGUGUGAACUCACGCCUCCUGGCACAAAGCCCGCUCCACCUGCUGGAGGAAGGGCCUGCCAGGUCCAGCCGCAGAACACGAUCACCCGAGGAGCUCGUUAGACACUUACAGCCAGGCCCUACCCACAGACAUCUGCAGCAGCCAGGACAAGGCAUGCAGCCUGGACACACAGAAGUCAAUCAUCUCAUCCUCUGCUGGUUGCUGAGAAACACCCCCUGAGCAAAUGCUGAGCCUAUUGCUGGGUCCAGGGCCGGGGACGCUGCGAGGAGAGCUGACUAAUAAACCUUCCCCAGCCUCUAACAGGGGGACCUUACAUCAACA